AAAAUCGCACCAACGUACAUGUACAGCUCACACUGAGGCUUCAUUUAGAAUGGCCUUGGAGUUGCAAAGCUGAUGGGAUGCUAAUAUGAUAAGCUGUCUAUGUCAUAACCUAAAGUUCUCAGUUCAUGUGUGUUUGUGGCACAUAUAUGGCUCUGUAAGACUGUGACUGUGAGACUGAGUUAAGGAUCAUAGAUUGCUUUAACUUUUUGGUUAUUUGGGUGCACCUAGGUUGGACUGUUGGAGCAAUGCAUCUGAGGCACCAAUCAGACCUACAUUUGACAAGCUGUGGGGUGGCCAUGAUAGAUGAAAGAAGGAGGAUUGGGCAAGUACUCAUGCAUCCAAUAUUUGAUUGGGAGCCCAGCCCAGGUCUCCGUUCCCUAUUCCUUUUUGCUGAUACGAAUUUGCCUGUAUGCUGAUCUCUACUUGUGCAGAGAGGAUAAUCAAGGUGCAGUCAAACCACCAUUCCUUGCGGUAGAAUGUCAAGCAACAAUAUUACAACAUGCAAUUACAAACUUAUUUUGUAUCACCUAUUUGACUGAUGGAUGAGGCAGGCUAUCUUACCUAAACUAGAUUGCUUUUAACCUUUUGGUUAAUUCGAUGUAUUAUGGAUGGAGCCUAGCCAAGCAGCUGAGGCAUCUCUUCGAGUGUCUCAACUUUAUUAGGAAGCUGUGCAUGGUUUUGAGGUGUGAGGUGUGACUAUGAGCCAUCAUAGAAGAUUGUUCAACUUGGGAUUGUUUCUUUGGUCUACCUAGGUUGUGCCUGUGUCUUUACUGCUGAUUAUAACUUAUAUCUUCAUAUACUGUUAAUAAUAUUCCGCUUCCUCUGACGCAAGUUGUUUAGAAUUUAUUAUUUUCUUUUGAUUCAGGUUACUAAGUCCUCUGAUUUUGUAUCUAAUGUAGAAGAAAAUCGUACCAAGAUACAUGUAAAGCUAAUAUUUACCGAUGCUGGAAGCAUUUAGAAUCGCCUUGGAGUUGAGAGCCUGAUCGAAUUGUACUUUGGUGGAGGAUGGGAAUAAUGAUCUGCCAAUAUCUGAUAGUAAUCCCAGCUCGACCAACUUCCAAACACAGAGGAUAAGCACUACAUCUUCCUUCAUCAACAGAAUCUUCCCUGUAGUUUGUCCGCCAAACAAAGACAGCACGAGCUGAAAUGAGUGAACUGUUGACUAGCUUGUUGUCAAAGACGGAUACAUUAACUGCCACCGUACCAGUGACUGUUCCAGGAAUGAAGCUAUUAGCUAGGCAGCUCAUGGCUUCCUCACAUACUGAACUGAACUCCCUAUCAGCUUUAAUUACUUCUGCGGCUUGAUUUCUUAAACAUACAGGAAAUGAUGAUUCUCGGUCAUGUAUAGAGCUGAAAGGAUUCUGGACUUCUCAAGGACAAGAUGAUCCUCACCUCCUCAGGUUAUACAAUUCUUCUAUUUACAUAAUUUGGCAUAUAGUGUAGAUGCUACUACAUUGAAACUUGAAGCAUUAAGAAUGAC